rnacentral:rRNA from 1 species
GACAGAGGUGCCGAGCGUUAGGCGGAAUCACUGGGCUUAAAGCGUGUGUAGGUGGAUGCCUAAGUACCUUGUGAAAUCCCACGGCUUAACCGUGGAACUGCUUGGUAUACUGGGUAUCUUGAGCCACUUAGGGGCAACCGGAACAAACGGUGGAGCGGUGAAAUGCGUAGAUAUCGUUUGGAACGCCAAUGGUGAAAACAGGUUGCUGGGAGUGUGCUGACGCUGAGACACGAAAGCCAGGGGAGCAAACGGG